rnacentral:rRNA from 1 species
UUCCGUAGGGUGACCUGCGGAAGGAUCAUUAUUG